GAAAAAUAAAGUCAUUUAGGUGCCCUUUGGGAGAAUAGGGAAGUUCGGUUGGAAACCGACGCGGACCCACCACUGUAUUCGAUGAGCUUUCGUAAAACCACUGGCCUUGGCUGGGAAGGUUACGAGUUUAGCAAUGAUUCGAGAGCCAGGAGACCUGCCUAAAUGUUUACGUCUUC
rnacentral:ncRNA from 2 species